GUCAGCACGCAGGGGUACUCGCCAUUUGGCGGGUUGAGAUAAACCCUCGUACCAGUACGGAUAAUGCCGAUGCUGGGAGCGUGUGCCACAGGUGC
rnacentral:ncRNA from 1 species